AUGGACGGCAUCCUCCGCAGCGCGAUCCUGAGGGCACACGAGAGGGCUGGGGGGCAUGGGGGGCACCCACCGGAGCCCCCCCCCCCCCCAGCUCCCUGCGCUGGGAGAUCCAAGCGGGUGGCUCUAGGUGGCAGCAGCUCCCUGCGCUCUGGGGACGCAGCCAGGCCCCCCCCUUGGUCCCUUUCCACCCCCCUCCAUCCGCAGGGAUGUGGCACUGGGGGUGCAGGGAUAAGGAGGGGGGGCCCCGGGGGUGGCUGCUGCAGGAGGAACCCCCCCGGCACCGGGCUGUGGUGGCGCAGGGCGGCCACAGGCUGCGUUGGGGCUCGGUGGCUCUGCACCGAAACGCGUUGCCUUGGCCUCGUGGGUUAUUUGGGAGGCAGAGCUGCUGUCAAACCCCGCGGUGCUCAGAGGGAGAGGGGGAAGAGAAGCGAGGAAGGUGAGCUGUGCCGAUGCAGAGGAGGAAAGGAGGAGGAGGAGGAGAGGUGUUUCCCAGCGGGUCCGGGGGAGCGGAGCUGCAGCGGGUGCCGCAGGAGGAGAGCUCCGGGGAUCCUCGGCACCAUCCUGAGCGCUGAGAAACGAGGCGAGACAGCAAGACCCAGCACGUCACGGUCCUCACACGUGGCCGGUACCUCUGCAAAGCCUGGGCCGGCGAGUGGAAGAAGCUGGCACCCCAGGUCAGGGCCAGGAGCAGCAGGUACUGCAGCACCCUCCUGCUGCGGCCGGCCAGCAUCGCGCUCUCCCAGGGCAGCCUCCUCCUGUGCCAGCAGCUUCCUCGUGGCCCAGAGGGGAGGACGCUUUUAUAGCCUGGGUUUCUGCCUCCCCGUGGGUUUCUCCUCCCCGCUGGCCGAGGGAGGGCUGGGGAUGCUGCAGGCAGCACGGUGCAGGUGGCUGGGGGGUGCCAGCGGUGGGUCCCACGGAGCUCCUGGAUCCCAGGGGCUGGCAAAGGGUUGUGAGCCCCAAACCCAUGCUGUCCGCAGCCCUGCUCGGUGCCAGCACCAACCCAUCGCUGGCACAGCACCUGCAGGGCACAGGCCAAGUCACGGAGUCACAGAAUUGUAG
rnacentral:lncRNA from 1 species